rnacentral:rRNA from 1 species
GACGAACGCUGGCGGCGUGCCUAAUACAUGCAAGUUGAGCGAUGAAGAUUGGUGCUUGCACCAAUUUGCAGAGCAGCGAACGGGUGAGUAACGCGUGGGGAAUCUGCCUUUGAGCGGGGGACAACAUUUGGAAACGAAUGCUAAUACCGCAUAACAACUUUAAACAUAAGUUUUAAGUUUGAAAGAUGCAAUUGCCUCACUCAAAGAUGAUCCCGCGUUGUAUUAGCUAGUUGGUGAGGUAAAGGCUCACCAAGGCGAUGAUACAUAGCCGACCUGAGAGGGUGAUCGGCCACAUUGGGACUGAGACACGGCCCAAACUCCUACGGGAGGCAGCAGUAGGGAAUCUUCGGCAAUGGACGAAAGUCUGACCGAGCAACGCCGCGUGAGUGAAGAAGGGUUUCGGAUCGUAAAACUCUGUUGGUAGAGAAGAACGGUGGUGAGAGUGGAAAGCUCAUCAAGUGACGGUAACUACCCAGAAAGGGACGGCUAACUACGUG